rnacentral:lncRNA from 1 species
AAGAAGAACCAUUACAUGCCACCUCCAAAGACCCACUUUUACAGCUUCCAGCAUGUGUUGUGAAACAUUUCUUCUAAUUUCUAAAAUUGAAACAAUUACUAUGAUCUACAAAAUUUGAAGAACAACUAUGAAUCAAUAAUUUACUGCUAUAAUCAACAAAGGAUAAAUUAACUUCAUCUGACACAUGCUGAAUAAUCUACAUAAAUAUGAUUGCAAGUCAUGGCAAGUAUUCGUAAGUGAUUUGAGAAAGUCCAUGCAUGGGAGCAGGACAAAGAGAAAUAAUCUGAUCAUCCCUAAGAGGUUUCAAGAAUGAGCAAUUGCGUAAAGCUGAGUCCUGGAAGGCUGCCUGUAGGGGGCAGUAUGUGGUCUGGCCUUAAGGACAAACGGAAUUUUCACCGGAGAAGACUGUGGCGGGGGCUUUUCAGGAGGAAUGAAUAGGAAGAGUACAGGAGGCUGUAUAGCAGCAGGUGGCUUUGUUUGGUUGGAAAACACUCCAAGUGAAAAGGCAUUGUGAAGAAUGGAAGAGCUACUGAGAAACCAGCCUAUGGAGUUUGGCUGUCUCUCCUAGUCACAAAUAAGGAGCUGUUACUGGUUUUUGUCAAAAGAACAGGAUGAUCACAUCUGUGCCUUAGGACACUUUAGAUGGGGCAGAACAGGUACAGGGGAUGUGGUGGGGGAAGAAAUGACUCGAUUUCAAACAAAUCAAAUAAAUUACUUUGAUGUUUAAAAAAAAAAAAUAAAA